rnacentral:rRNA from 2 species
CUCUGGUAUUGAUUGGUGCUUGCAUCAUGAUUUACAUUUGAGUGAGUGGCGAACUGGUGAGUAACACGUGGGAAACCUGCCCAGAAGCGGGGGAUAACACCUGGAAACAGAUGCUAAUACCGCAUAACAACUUGGACCGCAUGGUCCGAGUUUGAAAGAUGGCUUCGGCUAUCACUUUUGGAUGGUCCCGCGGCGUAUUAGCUAGAUGGUGGGGUAACGGCUCACCAUGGCAAUGAUACGUAGCCGACCUGAGAGGGUAAUCGGCCACAUUGGGACUGAGACACGGCCCAAACUCCUACGGGAGGCAGCAGUAGGGAAUCUUCCACAAUGGACGAAAGUCUGAUGGAGCAACGCCGCGUGAGUGAAGAAGGGUUUCGGCUCGUAAAACUCUGUUGUUAAAGAAGAACAUAUCUGAGAGUAACUGUUCAGGUAUUGACGGUAUUUAACCAGAAAGCCACGGCUAACUACGUGCCAGCAGCCGCGGUAAUACGUAGGUGGCAAGCGUUGUCCGGAUUUAUUGGGCGUAAAGCGAGCGCAGGCGGUUUUUUAAGUCUGAUGUGAAAGCCUUCGGCUCAACCGAAGAAGUGCAUCGGAAACUGGGAAACUUGAGUGCAGAAGAGGACAGUGGAACUCCAGGUGUAGCGGUGAAAUGCGUAGAUAUAUGGAAGAACACCAGUGGCGAAGGCGGCUGUCUGGUCUGUAACUGACGCUGAGGCUCGAAAGUAUGGGUAGCAAACAGGAUUAGAUACCCUGGUAGUCCAUACCGUAAACGAUGAAUGCUAAGUGGUUGGAAGGGUUUCCGCCCUUCAGUGCUGCAGCUAACGCAUUAAGCAUUCCG